AACGAACGCUGGCGGCAGGCUUAACACACGCAAGUCGAGCGCCUCGCAAGAGGAGCGGCAGACGGGUGAGUAACGCGUGGGAACGUACCCUUAUCUUCGGAAUAGCUCUGGGAAACUGGAAGUAAUACCGAAUGUGCCCUUAGGGGGAAAGAUUUAUCGGAUAAGGAUCGGCCCGCGUUGGAUUAGCUAGUUGGUGGGGUAAAGGCCUACCAAGGCGACGAUCCAUAGCUGGUCUGAGAGGAUGAUCAGCCACAUUGGGACUGAGACACGGCCCAAACUCCUACGGGAGGCAGCAGUGGGGAAUAUUGGACAAUGGGCGCAAGCCUGAUCCAGCCAUGCCGCGUGGGUGAUGAAGGCCUUAGGGUUGUAAAGCUCUUUCACCGGAGAAGAUAAUGACGGUAUCCGGAGAAGAAGCCCCGGCUAACUUCGUG
rnacentral:rRNA from 1 species